rnacentral:ncRNA from 2 species
CCUGUGUUCCGGGGUCGGUGAGAAUCCGAACCGGCGGUGAAAGUCCGCGACCCCCGCGCCUGCGGGGCUGAUCCAGUGAAAUUCUGGUACCGACGGUGAUAAGCGAAAUGCUUUAGUCCGGAUGAGAGGAACGCGCC